GACGAACGCUGGCGGCGUGCCUAAUACAUGCAAGUUGAGCGAUGAAGAUUGGUGCUUGCACCAAUUUGAAGAGCAGCGAACGGGUGAGUAACGCGUGGGGAAUCUGCCUUUGAGCGGGGGACAACAUUUGGAAACGAAUGCUAAUACCGCAUAACAACUUUAAACAUAAGUUUUAAGUUUGAAAGAUGCAAUUGCAUCACUCAAAGAUGAUCCCGCGUUGUAUUAGCUAGUUGGUGAGGUAAAGGCUCACCAAGGCGAUGAUACAUAGCCGACCUGAGAGGGUGAUCGGCCGCAUUGGGACUGAGACACGGCCCAAACUCCUACGGGAGGCAGCAGUAGGGAAUCUUCGGCAAUGGACGAAAGUCUGACCGAGCAACGCCGCGUGAGUGAAGAAGGUUUUCGGAUCGUAAAACUCUGUUGGUAGAGAAGAACGUUGGUGAGAGUGGAAAGCUCAUCAAGUGACGGUAACUACCCAGAAAGGGACGGCUAACUACGUG
rnacentral:rRNA from 1 species